rnacentral:lncRNA from 1 species
GCCCCAGUCCCUGUUGUGAAGAAGCAAGCAGCCAAGGUGAUGAAUCACCUGAGAGAGACCCAGAAAUGUUGGCACUUGCAGGACAUCUGGCCCCAAGAGACCUCACCUGCUUUGUCAAGUGACCCUGCUACAUCCAGCUGCGGUGACAAAGGGCUGUCCUCUAAACAUGGCUGAAAGUGCCUUCAUGAGCAACCAGUUCGUCCAGGCCUUGGGCAGCAAAACAGCACUCAGCUGCCUAGGCUGGCUCACAGGUACUGACCAGAGACAGUGCAAGAGAAGAACUGAUGGCUGCUGGCCCGGGCUGAGAAGAAAGCUGCCAGCAAAGGGGAGGUCCCCACUGGAGACCACCUGUCCUUGGUGCAGGGGUUGACACUGUUGCUACCUUGUGGGAGAACAAGGUGGCUCAACUGGUGGUGACUGCGCACGACAUGGAUCCUUUCCAGCAGGCUGUCUUCCCAUCUGCCCUGUAUCAUGAAAGGGGGUUCCCUACUACAUCAUCAAAGGAACGGCCAGACUGGGACAUCUAGUCCACAGGGAGACCUGCACCAGUGUUGCCUGCACACAGGUUAACUUGGAAGACAAAUGAGCUCUGGCUAAGCUGGAGGAAGCUACCAGGACCAGUUACAAUAAUGGGUAUGCUAAGAUCACUGUCACCGGGGAGGCAAUGUCUGGGGUCAUAAAUCUGAGGCUUGCAUUGCCAAGUGGCAAAAGGCAGAGGUCAAAGAACUUGCCACUAAACUGGGUUAA